CACUCAUCUGUCUGCUAGAUAACACAGGUACUCUGGCUCUCAUCGGGCAGCUUAGCAACAAGCUGGCUCAGCCUAAGGCAGAAACCAGGAUUGAUAUGGAAAACUCCCCAGCUGAUGGGUGUCUAAAAGCUUGUUACAUAUGGCCAGGCGCAGUGGCUCACGCCUGUAAUCCCAGCACUUUGGGAGGCCGAGGUGGGCGGAACACCUGAGGUUGGGAGUUCGAGACCAGCCUGACCCACAUGGAGAAACCCCAUAUCUACUAAAAAUACAAAAUUAGCCGGGCUUCGUGGCGCAUGCCUGUAAUCCCAGCUACUUGAGAAUCGCUUGAACCUGGGAGGUGGAGGUUGCCGUGAGCCAAGAUCGUGCCAUUGCAUUCCAGCCUGGGCAACAAGAGCAAAACUCUGUCUCAAAAAAAAAAAAA
rnacentral:lncRNA from 1 species